rnacentral:rRNA from 1 species
GACGAACGCUGGCGGCGUGCUUAACACAUGCAAGUCGAACGGAAAGGCCCUGCUUUUGUGGGGUGCUCGAGUGGCGAACGGGUGAGUAACACGUGAGUAACCUGCCCUUGACUUUGGGAUAACUUCAGGAAACUGGGGCUAAUACCGGAUAGGAGCUCCUGCUGCAUGGUGGGGGUUGGAAAGUUUCGGCGGUUGGGGAUGGACUCGCGGCUUAUCAGCUUGUUGGUGGGGUAGUGGCUUACCAAGGCUUUGACGGGUAGCCGGCCUGAGAGGGUGACCGGCCAAAUGGGGAAUGGGAUACGGCCCAGACUCCUCGGGGGGGGAGCGGUGGGGAAAUUUGCAAAAGGGGCGGAAGCCUGAUGCAGCAACGCCGGGGGGGGGAUGACGGCCUUCGGGUUGUAAACCGCUUUCGCCUGUGACGAAGGGUGGGUGACGGUAAUGGGUAAAGAAGCCCCGGCUAACUACGU